CCUCGCGGGCUGGGAAUCUCCUGCCAGCGGGACUUCGGUUCGCCAAUCGCUGCACUGUGAUUUGGGCCGGGAUCGUUUCCACGUGCGCCUUUUGAGUCGAACUUGGCCGUGGCGCGGCCAGACGUUUCUCCUCACCCUGCCCAGCAGGUUGCAUGAAACACGUGCACUUAUUUUACCCGCGAUAAGACGCUCUGCUGGCAUCAAGCAAGCAGGAUCUUGAAAACUCACUUUUCCAGUGAAAGAAUCCCUGCAUCAAAGGGAAACUGAAUCUGAAAUGAAGACCCAGGCACCCAGAACAUAGCUUCUCUGUAAUGUUCUAACACUGGGGGGAUCCGUUCUGAGACCAACAGUCCGAUACAUAUUUCUGCCUUUUUUCUCAGGCUCCCUUGACGUUAAUUCUGUCAUCACUCUAAUCAAGGAGCUCUGUAAUGAUUGGCCUGUGUGUUUGUAAGAAAUUUCAAGACUGGGAGCCAACCUGAAGCAUACCUGUUGCCCCUGAGUCAGCACAGUGCCUGGAACUUGGUGUCCAGGAGGGAUUCAAAAUACAUUGUUUGAGCGAGAGAGUGUGCCAGAAGCUACGUGGAUCAAAGGCCAGUUAUUACUGUACCUGUUAACUCUUUAUCGGUGAUAGAAAGUGAAAGAUGGGUGAACAUAGGUAUCUCCACAUGCAGAGGUUGGGGAAGAUAUUGAGAUCAAGGACAUAGUGGAAAUUACCCAGGAUCUGAAAGCUAAUGGUAGCUACAUGAGGUGGAAACUUGGGGCUCAUUGAUGAUAACACCCCAGAAAGUCUGCAGUGGAGGCCGACCCUGCUUAACUUGCCCCCAGCAGUCCUAUUUGUUCCCCUUCCAUUUUCUGCUGUUUCGCCUCCACCAUUUCAUCCACCAUUUCAUCGUGUCUGCCAGCAUUUCAGAAGCCCUCUUCCCAGGAUUCUGUCCCCUGCUUCUUUGGCACAGUGUUGCUAUAUUCAACACUGGUUCUGGUUGUGGCAGAUGAAAGUUGACUGUUUUGCGUCCUUCUGAAGGAACAGAGUAAUUAUGAUUUAUAACUCUUUCAUGACUUUUGAUGAUUGUGGAUCCUGAGGAAGGUCCUUGGCUGCAGAGCUGGUUUCCUUGUGCAAGAACCCUAUUCUUAAAACAAACAAACAAACAAACAAACAAAAACCCUAUUUUUGACAGGACGCCCUUCUCUUCCACAAAGGUAUCAGACCUGCCUAGGAGGAAAGAUAGCUUCCUUAUCAAUGACACUGAGCACCCACAGGCCCGGACACCAGGAGACCAGUUCCCCCAGCGGCAAAACAGGUUUCUCAGGGUCACCGAGCUGUUCCACAAAUUUCAUAGGCUCCUUAGAUAAAGAUAACAAGGCACAUGCAAAUGAUGUUUGGCAUCAAUUUGGGAAAAGGAAAACAGCUGCAUCCCUUCUUUCAGAGUAAAAGCUUUGAGUACCCCCAGUAAAAUCAGCCUGUGUGGAAAGAUGCACCUUUAGUGAGCACUAUGGUAGAGUAGCUAUGACCAGGGGUUCUGAGCCGAGCACUUUCUCUGAAAUUUGAUAUUGUUAAGAAAACAACAUUUCCUUUUCUUUUUUUCCAUCUUCCUUUGGGUUACUUACUUCAAGGCAAGAUAAAAAAUUACUGGUUUUGUUCUUUUUCCCAAAGUACAAUAUUGUAUCUCCUAGUAGAGGACACCAAUUAGACUCUUAGCUUCUGAAGUUCACUUUAACUUUGAUCAAAUAGCUUUUUCUACCAGCCUACAUCUCAAAGGAAGUAUCCUGGAUUUGUUGCUUUGGAUGAACUUUGUGAUGUCUGUAAUUCUUAAAAUCCUCAUAAAGGAAUCCUACUUGGUUUUUUGUUUCUUUGUUUCUUAGCUACUAUAACAGAAGACCCAAUAAAAGCUCUUCGAGGGCCUACCAUGUUUCAGGUCUUUUGCUUAUCUUGCUGAUAAUUGUCAUACAAUUCCUAUGACAUAAGUACCGUUACUCCAAUUUCACAAAUGAGGAUAUUGAAGCCCAGAAAGAUAGAUACGUUGGCCCUGACACGUGAGUAGAGUGGCAGAGCUGACAUUUAGGACUGCAGUCACAAUCCAUUGACUGCAUUGGUCAGCGUAUCCUGACAUU